AGGGCGUAUGGUGGAUGCCUAGACACGAGAUGCCGAAGAAGGACGUAGCAGCCUGCGAUAAGCCGCGGGGAGGUGGCAAGCAACCUUUGAUCCGCGGAUCUCCGAAUGGGGAAACCCGGUCCCGCAGAAGGCGGGAUCACCCGGCGCUGAAUACAUAGGCGACGGGAGGGCACCCAGGGAAGUGAAACAUCUCAGUACCUGGAGGAAGAGAAAAAAAUUGCUACCGCAGAUUUCUCGUCACAGAUCGCACAGAUUUUCUGUGCCAUCCGUGUCAGAGAAAUCAGUGGUAGCUGCAUUCCCCAAGUAGUGGCGAGCGAACGGGGAACAGCCCAAACCUCGUCGGGCCAAGUGCGGAAGCGGGCCCCGCGCAAGCGGGGUCACGUGCCGUAUGGCGGCUUCAGGGCUUUGUGUCCGACGGGGCGUUGUAAGAGAGUGGCGUUCGGCGCCUGCAACGCCGAGGAAGAGGAAUCCCAAAUGGGCCAUGUCUUUCCUAGCAGAACGGUUUGGAAAAACCGACCAUAGCGGGUGAUAGUCCCGUACGCGAAAGGAGUCAUGCCUCUUCUGUCAUUAUUCUUGAGUACCACGAGACUCGUGAAAUCUUGUGGGAAACAGGGGCGACUAUGCCCCAAGGCUAAACACAUCUCGUGAUCGAUAGUGAACCAGUACCGUGAGGGAAAGGUGAAAAGCAGCCCGGGAGGGCGAUGAAAUAGUAUCUGAAACCAUACGCUUACAAGGAGUCAGAGCCCCCACACCUUUUGGAUAAUCCAAAGGGUGUACGGACAAUGUUUGAUGGUGAUAGCACAUCAUCGAAAAAAUCAUCAUUGUCCAAAAGGUGUGGGGGUGAUGGCGUUCCUAUUGAAGAAUGAGCCAACGAGUUUGAUCUGCGUCGCUUGGUUAAUCCGCCGAGGCGGAGAAGCCGCAGCGAAAGCGAGUCUGAAAGGGCGUUUUUCACUUAUGAGCGAGGAGCCGUCGCAAGACUGCUCACCGCCCAUUUGUGAAAAUGUGGCGUAGACAAGACCCGAAACCCGGCGAGCUAGCCAUGGCCAGGAUGAACCCCCGCGAAAGCGGGGGGGAGGUCCGAACCUGUGAGCCGUACAACACUCUAGGAUGAGCUGUGGCUAGAGGUGAAAUUCCAAUCGAGCUGGGUGAUAGCUGGUUCUCCCCGAAAUAGCUUGUGGGCUAGCGUCGGUUACAGUUCGUGAGGGGUAGAGCACUGAAUGGGAUUCGAUGGAGAAAUCCUACGCAUCCUAACCAAACUCCGAAUACUCACGAAUGAUCCCGGCAGUCAGAGCACGGGGGCUAAGCUCCGUCGCUCAAAAGGGAAACAGCCCUGAUCUCAGUCUAAGGUCCCUAAAUUCCAGUUAAGUGUGAAAAGUGGUGUCGCGACUUCGACAACCAGGAGGUGGGCUUAGAGGCAGCCAUCCUUCAAAGAAAGCGUAACAGCUCACUGGUCAAGUUGCCGCGCGCUGAAAAUUUACCGGGGCUAAACUGGAUACCGAAGACGAGGGCUCGCGCCGCAAGGCGUGAGCGGUAGGGGAGCAUUCCGAGUGCGCUGAAGUCGCGUCGUGAGGCGCGGUGGAGCGCUCGGAAGAGAGAAUGUUGGCAUAAGUAGCAAAAAGACGGGUGAGAACCCCGUCCACCGUAAACCCAAGGUUUCCUGGGCAACGCAAAUCGUCCCAGGGUGAGCCGGUCCUAAGGCGAGGCCGAAGGGCGUAGCCGAUGGAUGAGCAGGUUAAUAUUCCUGCGCUCCCGCCGUGUUAUCGUCGCGCGACGCUUCACCGUAUUCUCCGUGUGUUUUGGCUAUGUACAUCCGCGGCGGCAAGGACUCCGCAAGGGGAACAAGCCGCUGUGGCCAGCUGGCCCGCGAGGGCUGGCAAGGGAGAAAAAGGUGGAGCCUAGAAAAACCGCGACGUUACGCACGACGGGACCCGUACCGCAAACCAACACAGGUGGGUAGGCAUAAGUGUGCCAAGGUGUACGAGAGAACCCUCGUUCAGGAACUCGGCAAUAUAGCGGCCGUAACUUCGGAAUAAGGCCUCCCCGUAGCAAUACGGGGCGCAGCUAAAGACGCUUAGCGACUGUUUACCAAAAACACAGGUCCCUGCUAAGUCGAAAGACGAUGUAUAGGGGCUGAUGCCUGGCCAGUGUCAGAACGUUAAGGAGAGGGGUCAUUCCGCCGCAAGGCGGAGGCAGCCCUGAACUGAAGCGCUGAUGAACGCCGGCGGUAACUAUGAACUGACGGUUGUAGUUACAAAUAGGUGAACAAGCAGUAUUGCCAAAAAUUGUUAUGCUGAAAAAAUUCGGCCAUAUGCGGGAAUAUCUGGUUAAUGCGAUGAGUACUCGACCUUGAAUGGUCAGUAACAAUCUCACGCUACAGACAACCCGCAGGAAAGAUUCCCUAUGCAAGACCAUGAACAAUGGUUGCGCUCUGUUCCGAUGGAAGUCGGAUCCUAUAUCGCUGGAUUCGUCGACGGUGAAGGAAGCUUCAAUGUUUCCCUGCGCCGUCGGCCGGACCACCGAUUGGGAUGGGACAUUGAUCCGAGCUUCAACGUGUCACAACGCGACAGAGUCAUCCUCGCAUGGGUGAAGCGCAUCUUUGGAUGCGGGACACUCCGCGAGCGACCCGACGGCGUUGUGUACUAUGAAGUUCGAAACGUGNNNNNNNNNNNNNNNNNNNGAUCUUCGAGAAGAUUGUGCAAACCCUGCAGAGCGGACCUCUCACGGAGCAUAUGCUCCGAGAAGUGGUUCGUCUCAGAGAAAUGCUCAACGAAGGUCGGGGGCGGAAGCGCAAAUACGAAGCGCACCACGUCCUCGAAGGGAAAAUCCUCAGAGACUUUACGCCGAACUCGUCUCCUCUCUAAACACUGAGAGAGGAGGGCGCGAGAUGAUAAAGUCCGAUCUCAUGGGCGUCCAUGAGCCCCGUAACCAAUCGGGGAUCCGGAAACGGAUUAACAGAAGAACCGUCCUAAGGUAGCGAAAUUCCUUGUCGGGUGAGUUCCGACCUGCACGAAUGGCAUAACGCCUGAGCGACUGUCUUAACGAGGGACUCGGCGAAAUUGCAAGUGGAGUGAAGAUGCUCCAUACCCGUGGUUAGACGAAAAGACCCCGUGAAGCUUUACUACAGCU
rnacentral:rRNA from 1 species